UCAAAAAAAAAAAAGUAAAACAAAACCCAAAACCUCAAUUUGAACAGCAAGGGUUUUUCCAGUCCCGCCUCCUCUCUUUCUCUCGUAGGCAACGACACAAGUGUCUCUCUUCCUCCUCAUUUUCUUCUAGUUCAUCUUCUCUCUCAUCAAGCUUUACGUCUUGAACGACCUUUAGGGUUUUGAAAUCUGAAGCUUCACAAGCAUGGAAGAUGCUUCAAAUUCAAACGUAAUCCCCGACAAAAGAGUAAAGCAAGAAGCUCCCCAUCUUGCUGCUUUUGAGAGAAAUGAAGGAAGGAUUAGAUAUAGUCACGGUAAAAGUCCAAGCUUUAAUUGCAAAGGUGAAAGCAAAUAAUUAUCCAACAGUAGACGGGAUAAGCUAUCUUGAAGCCAAGCAUUUGCUGCUUCUAAACUAUUACCAGUCACUUGUCUAUUACUUACUUCGUAAGGCUAAAGGGUUUUCAAUAAAUGGGCAUCUUGUUGUUCGUAGCCUUGUGGAGAUAAGGUUGUUUCUGGAAAAGGUAUGGGCCUCUGGUGAUCCUUUUUUUUCUUUUUCUUUGUCAUUCUAGUAACUAUGUAUUCAGUAUGACCUUUUUCUUUUGCAACAUAUUUGACCCAUUAACAAGAAGCUCCAAUACCAAGUUGAGAAGCUUACGAAGGCUACUUCAAGCACAAUUGAAGAUGUAAGGCCACGUGGAAAUGAACCACAAUCCAGUGUGCCUUGGCAAACAGAUGAUUUGUUGAGAUACCGCCCUAACCCUGAAAUGCUUGUUAGCAAAACAGAUGUGAAUUCUAAGGAUCAUAAUGAUGUGUAUCGACCCCCCAAAUUUGCCCCGACUUCAAUGGAGGAAGAUAAGUUGUCAAAGCAGGACAAAAAUGCAUUGAGAAGGGAUAAGAAUACUCUACGAUAAGCUAAGCAAAGUGCUUUUGUGAGGGAACUGGUGGAUGAUUUGAAGGGGAGGCCUGAAGAGGCUUGUUGUGGCCUAUUUUUAUAGGGGUAACAGGCAUGAUGGCUGGAUUUACUGUUCUCGUAACUGCUUUUUGCUGAUAUUUAUAGAUUGUAUAGAACUAGCCCGAUAUAGGGCAAAGAGGGAUGAACGUGAACGACAAGAAGAGGUACUUUUUACGCGUGCUCCUAUUACAAAGAAGGAGAAACAGAGAGAGAAACACUUAAAGAAGUCAAGAAAUGGAUUACUUGGUUUGACGGACAAUUUCUAUGUUGAAAUCAAGGGUUUACCUUUGGACGAUGAGAAUGAUGAGCAGGUAGCAAGCUUCAGUAGUGCUAGGGGUGGAAUGGGGAGGCAUAAGAAGCACAAGAUGAGGCAUUGAUAGACAAAGAUAUGCCAAGCCUGACAACUCCCAACGGUUUCUUUUCCGGUUUAAGGUCCAAUUGCAACAGUAGCAUGAAAUAGCUUUCUUCAAACCUCAAGUUGUUUUUCUUUUGGCGGCAGUGGGGAUGCGCACUAAUUAGAAGGUUGGAGGGAGCCAACAAGUAGGCAACAAAUUUUGCUGUUUGGACUUGAUUAGCAUGCUUGUUCAAUUCUUUUUCUUCUAACCCUCCACCAAAGGACACCUAACUAUGAUAUUUACUUGAUUUAUCUCGGCUCAAUCGUAUAUGCAGUUACCAUU